UACGAAGGGGGCUAGCGUUGUUCGGAAUUACUGGGCGUAAAGGGCGCGUAGGCGGGUCGUUAAGUUAGAGGUGAAAGCCCAGGGCUCAACCCUGGAAUUGCCUUUAAUACUGUCGACCUUGAGUAUGGCAGAGGUGUGUGGAACUCCGAGUGUAGAGGUGAAAUUCGUAGAUAUUCGGAAGAACACCAGUGGCGAAGGCGACACACUGGGCCAUUA
rnacentral:rRNA from 1 species